ACAGCACAAAUAAUUUCACCUCCUACUAAACUGCUGCCGACUCACUACAUUCUCAAUGCAACCCCACCAUUAGCUUCUGGUGUUUCACAAAACUAGGAAAACAAGGCAAACAAGUGCUAGACUGGAUCAUGUAUGAAGGUCAUGCAGUUCAGGGGCCCCACUCCCUCUGUGAUGCGCUCAAGAAGCUGCAGAAGACAAUGUUCCAUCCUGCCAAUUCAGAACCCAGCAGCAGGGGAAGUUCCUUGAAGCAGUCAGAUAUCAGGGAGCAGACAACCUCAAGCAUGAAGGCUGAGGUCACUCACCUAAUAUCAGGAGGCAACAAAACCACAACUACUCCACAAGUAAAGAUGAGCCAAAAGCUGAAGAUACCCACAAUGUCUUCUCAGAUCAGAGGCACAGCCCCAAGGAGCCUAAGAGCCCUGACCAGUGGUGAAGGGUGUCUGAGCCAAGCAUCCAGGUGAAAUCUGAUCUGCUGUUCUGAGGCCAAGAAAUGCCAGGAUGGCAGAUGGCAGGGAAGAAAGUUGAGCAGAGCUCUUUACCAGCAUCCAAGAUCCUGGGAGAAACCAAGCUGCUCCUGUAGGGGUCAAAUACCAGGGCGAGUAAGGAGAAAAAGCUGCCAAGCACUGCUUUUCAGCUGAAGUAAUCAUGACUAAAGCAGUAAGAUGGCCCUACCGGGCAUGGAUGACCAGCUCUGUCUCUUCAGGAGGCCAGUGGAAAUUUCCCUUCAGAGCUCUCCCUGUGGGAGAACUGCAACAUAUCUCGCCUAGUCUGCUGUGGAACAUUCUGGAUUAGUUAAUGCCUGCCUGAAGCCAGUAUCUGGAGCAGCCCACGGAGGAGAUACAGCAACUGAGCCAGUGUGGGUGGAUGAAGGAAUGGAAGAACAAGCAGGGAACAGUAACAGAAGUGGAUAUGGAGCAACUAUGGCCAGUGAUUGUAAGAGAAGGAAGGGUGAGAUCUAUCUUUGAUAAUGUUGUGAGAAACAGAGGAGCAGGACAAACUCACAUCCAUUCAAUGAGGUUUAUUCCCUGAAGACAUUUGCCAUGAAAUGCCACACCAAGCUAAUCUCCAGUGGAAUCCCAUGCUGCUUCUGCUUCUAGAGCUUCUCUUCAUACAAUGGCUUUGUGCAUCGUGUAUCUCCUCCCAGCCAGACUCAGUUUCGAAGCUUUCAGUGCACUUUGGGGGAAAAAAAAGCAGGAUGGACUUAACAAACAGCUGGUCAUCACAUUACUUGAAAGUGCAGAAGUGCUGUCCAGGGUUUCCAAGACAAAAUAGAAACAUUUUCAGUUUUGUCCUGGACUGGCAUUUUCUGAGUUACCUUAUUUCCACUGUCAGAUGAGUUUCAGAAGUCACCUCCACUUCCAGCUUUGCCAAAGUGAAGCCAGUUCCUGCUGCUGCAAAGGAGGGGCAUGGAGCAGUUCCUGUUGCCUGUGUCAUGUGGAAGCAUUGAGCUGGUCCCACUCCAUACCACUUGCCAGGGAAAACAGGUACUCAGGGCUGCUGGCCAGCAUUUGGAGAUAUGGAUAGGGCCCAGCCAAAGGGAUCCCGCAGCAGGAGAGGCCAUGCACAGAAGGAGAAGGCUGGUCUCAAAAUGGGGCAAUGCAGUGUGGAACAGAAUCCAAAGGCCCUCCAGAGAGGAGAGUUAGGAACAUUUCCACAUGAACCUGAAAGCGUAUUCAUUCAAGGUGGAGCUAGUGUUCUCCCAGCAGGACUUGUUAGCAUUAGCAGCAUUAAAUGCUGUGGAUUAAAGGCAAAGUCAUGCUCUACCUAGCUGCAAAGAACUUCCAGGCAGAUGAACAUUUAGUACCUCUACUACAUAAACACCUUUGUUAAAUAACAAGGUUUGAGUUAUGUUUCUUACAGCCUUGGUGAAAAUUGAUCACAGCUCAGUCUCUCAAAGAAUAUAAUUGCAGAAGCAAAAUGACUCUUAAAUGGCAGCCCCACAUAGGUCAUUGCCCCAUUUUUUGUUCCCAGUUACUGCAAUCAGCAAAAACAACAGAUUUCCAGCCUUAAUUUCUCCUCUGAAGAGCCCAGGGAUACUACUGGCAUCCAAGUGUCCUUUCCCAAGCAUGAGCUCUUUACCAGUCUCCCUCUGCGGCAGGUGACAUUAGCAGUUUUCCAUAUAUUUGUUCUGAACGGAACAGGGUUUUUUCACAAACUGUUCAUUGACAUAUAGCUCCCACAGCUAAUCCUAAAAUGCUUUCUAACACCAUAAACUAUACAUGUUUCAGAGAUUAGAGCUGAACAAAUAUUUCACUGUAAAUCAUUUAUUCAAUAAGUUUCAUAUGGCUUUCUUUUUUUCUAUUUGUGAAUUGUCUGCAAACUGCAAGCCAAAUUCCCAAAUUCAUUCAUUAGCCAAAAUAGCCCAUGAAUUUCUCCUGCAGAUAGUUUUUGCCCUGCAGGCCAUUCAUGGACAGUUUGUUAUGAAUAGUCUCAAUUCAAUGCUUGGUUGGUUUAGCUGCAGCAGUCAUGUUGACGUGGCUCUGUUCUGAAUGAAAAUUCACUUUCAAAUAUGAACCAAUAUUCACAGUGAAUUUCUCCCUCUGUUCCCUCAGCCCUUGGGGGAAUCAACCUAGUUAAUCUAACUGGGUGGGUUAAGCUGUCCAGAACAGCACAAUGGACUGGGGAAAGAACAGAGUGGUGUCCAGUUGAUUUUGUUCUGUAUAGAGGCAGGAUGGGAAUACACCAAUGGACAUUUGUGAAGGGUAAGAACUGCUGUCCUCACUCCUUCCUGAAGGAUGACCACCAGACACAAUUAGGAAAAUGGCUGCAGUGCAGCAUCUCCCUGUGUUCUACUGUUACCCAAGAAAGAUGGGUAAUUACUUCAUAGUUAGCAUUCUCAUAAUGAAGUAACAUGGGUGAGUUCUGAGCUGCAGCCAGACCUAGCUUCCUCUUGCCAAACAGCUUCCUGGUGGGUUAAUCCAUAGAGAAUGUUUCCAGGGCGUCCAUAAGCACCGUUCACCUCUCUAGAGAAGAAAGUAGAUGAAGUAGAACCCACUGCGUUGCAAACACUAGCUUGAAGAUUGAGUUCAUCAAGGCUGCAGGAUCCUCUUGUCCUGUUAUCUGUCUUCAGCAGAUGUUCUUCUCAUCAAAUCUCUGUGUGCAGGGCGCUGCCAGUGCUGUCAAAUCCAGCUGCUCCUCACCCAGGGGCUCCAAACAGCCACCCAGCUGCACCUGCUGGCCCUGCCUCCUCAUCAGCAGGGCAGCAAGACCCUGUUGUUACCUCAGGCAGACAACAGGGGCUAUGUCUGCCUCUCAGUACCACUGGUGCACCUCUAGGAAGAGAUUUCACAGGCUGAUGCAACAAUGCUAAUUGUAAGGCUUUUCUCAUUUCUAAGGUUUGAAUUGCUUCAUGUAGCUAUCUUCACAGUGGAGAAGAAAAUCCAGAGACCUUCUCAGUUGAGAUUUCAGAUAAAUACGUUCACAGCUAGGAGAGAAUAGCAAAUGUCCCCAGAUGGAGAAAAUGUUGACUUUAUGUCAAGAAACUCAAAGCCAGAAAAAAUAAAACAAGCUGAUGGGGAGAAAGAGGAAAAAUAAAAUAAUAGCCCAACCCACUAAACAAAUGUCAAAAUUUAUUUUUUUUCUUUUUAUGAUGAGAAAUAUUUAUGCUCCUUCCCAUGAAAAGCACACAUUUGCUGUGAAAAUAUUGCAUGGAAAUUUCAUACCAAAUUUUUAACAUCUUUCUUUUUUUUGCCAGACAGUUUCAAUGGACGUCUACUAUAGGCUGAAUAAUAGUUGUACUCAUCUCCAAGCUGCCUCUGGAGAGAUAUUUGCAUUCAUUGUAUGAAAAAGGCCCUGAUGCAGACCCCUCAGAAUGUAUACAAGAUAACAAACCCAUCUCUGGACCGGUACUACCUUGAACUUUGACCACAAAACUCAUUGAGCCUCAGUGUAUACAAGAUGCUGCUGCCAUUAUCCUCUCUCUCAUCCUUAUGCUCAAACACCUCCAAAACCAUUCUUUACCAGUUCUCUUUCCCCUCUCCAGUCCAUUUGACACAUUUUGCCCUUCCCAUGACAACCCAUGUGCCACCCACUUGUGUCUUCACUCAGCUUUCUAGGAGCAGCUUUGCUGAAGCCUCUUGAGCAGCCUUUUGCCUCUUCCAAAAGGCUCCUCUGACCAAAGACGAUUUCCUGAUCCCUUCUGCAAAGCUGUUCCUGCCAUUCUACCAGUCUCUCCUUCGAUGAGAUGUUUGCCUUUCCAAGGUCUCCUCUCAGACUCCUGAGAGCAUUUCUCUGCUCCUCCAAACACACUGACAUUACUGAAUAGAAA